rnacentral:piRNA from 2 species
UAGGCAGUGUCAUUAGCUGAUUGUACUGU